rnacentral:rRNA from 1 species
UACGGAGGGUGCGAGCGUUGUCCGGAUUCAUUGGGCGUAAAGGGUGCGUAGGUGGCAUGGUAAGUCGGAUGUGAAAUCCCGGGGCUCAACCCCGGAACUGCAUUCGAUACUGCUGCGCUAGAGUACUGGAGAGGAGAUUGGAAUUUACGGUGUAGCAGUGAAAUGCGUAGAUAUUCGCAAGAACACCAGUGGCGAAGGCGGCUUACUGGUCCGGUACUGACGCUGAGGUGCGAAAGCGUGGGGAGCAAACAGG